GGGUUGUGAGGUUAAGCGACUAAGCGUACACGGUGGAUGCCCUGGCAGUCAGAGGCGAUGAAGGACGUGCUAAUCUGCGAUAAGCGUCGGUGAGGUGAUAUGAACCGUUAUAACCGGCGAUUUCCGAAUGGGGAAACCCAGUGUGUUUCGACACACUAUCAUUAACUGAAUCCAUAGGUUAAUGAGGCGAACCGGGGGAACUGAAACAUCUAAGUACCCCGAGGAAAAGAAAUCAACCGAGAUUCCCCCAGUAGCGGCGAGCGAACGGGGAGGAGCCCAGAGCCUGAAUCAGUGUGUGUGUUAGUGGAAGCGUCUGGAAAGGCGCGCGAUACAGGGUGACAGCCCCGUACACAAAAAUGCACAUAUUGUGAGCUCGAUGAGUAGGGCGGGACACGUGGUAUCCUGUCUGAAUAUGGGGGGACCAUCCUCCAAGGCUAAAUACUCCUGACUGACCGAUAGUGAACCAGUACCGUGAGGGAAAGGCGAAAAGAACCCCGGCGAGGGGAGUGAAAAAGAACCUGAAACCGUGUACGUACAAGCAGUGGGAGCCUCUUAAUGGGGUGACUGCGUACCUUUUGUAUAAUGGGUCAGCGACUUAUAUUCUGUAGCAAGGUUAACCGAAUAGGGGAGCCGAAGGGAAACCGAGUCUUAACUGGGCGUUAAGUUGCAGGGUAUAGACCCGAAACCCGGUGAUCUAGCCAUGGGCAGGUUGAAGGUUGGGUAACACUAACUGGAGGACCGAACCGACUAAUGUUGAAAAAUUAGCGGAUGACUUGUGGCUGGGGGUGAAAGGCCAAUCAAACCGGGAGAUAGCUGGUUCUCCCCGAAAGCUAUUUAGGUAGCGCCUCGUGAAUUCAUCUCCGGGGGUAGAGCACUGUUUCGGCAAGGGGGUCAUCCCGACUUACCAACCCGAUGCAAACUGCGAAUACCGGAGAAUGUUAUCACGGGAGACACACGGCGGGUGCUAACGUCCGUCGUGAAGAGGGAAACAACCCAGACCGCCAGCUAAGGUCCCAAAGUCAUGGUUAAGUGGGAAACGAUGUGGGAAGGCCCAGACAGCCAGGAUGUUGGCUUAGAAGCAGCCAUCAUUUAAAGAAAGCGUAAUAGCUCACUGGUCGAGUCGGCCUGCGCGGAAGAUGUAACGGGGCUAAACCAUGCACCGAAGCUGCGGCAGCGACACUAUGUGUUGUUGGGUAGGGGAGCGUUCUGUAAGCCUGUGAAGGUGGCCUGUGAGGGUUGCUGGAGGUAUCAGAAGUGCGAAUGCUGACAUAAGUAACGAUAAAGCGGGUGAAAAGCCCGCUCGCCGGAAGACCAAGGGUUCCUGUCCAACGUUAAUCGGGGCAGGGUGAGUCGACCCCUAAGGCGAGGCCGAAAGGCGUAGUCGAUGGGAAACAGGUUAAUAUUCCUGUACUUGGUGUUACUGCGAAGGGGGGACGGAGAAGGCUAUGUUGGCCGGGCGACGGUUGUCCCGGUUUAAGCGUGUAGGCUGGUUUUCCAGGCAAAUCCGGAAAACCAAGGCUGAGGCGUGAUGACGAGGCACUACGGUGCUGAAGCGACAAAUGCCCUGCUUCCAGGAAAAGCCUCUAAGCAUCAGGUAACAUCAAAUCGUACCCCAAACCGACACAGGUGGUCAGGUAGAGAAUACCAAGGCGCUUGAGAGAACUCGGGUGAAGGAACUAGGCAAAAUGGUGCCGUAACUUCGGGAGAAGGCACGCUGAUAUGUAGGUGAAGCGACUUGCUCGUGGAGCUGAAAUCAGUCGAAGAUACCAGCUGGCUGCAACUGUUUAUUAAAAACACAGCACUGUGCAAACACGAAAGUGGACGUAUACGGUGUGACGCCUGCCCGGUGCCGGAAGGUUAAUUGAUGGGGUUAGCGGUAAUGCGAAGCUCUUGAUCGAAGCCCCGGUAAACGGCGGCCGUAACUAUAACGGUCCUAAGGUAGCGAAAUUCCUUGUCGGGUAAGUUCCGACCUGCACGAAUGGCGUAAUGAUGGCCAGGCUGUCUCCACCCGAGACUCAGUGAAAUUGAACUCGCUGUGAAGAUGCAGUGUACCCGCGGCAAGACGGAAAGACCCCGUGAACCUUUACUAUAGCUUGACACUGAACAUUGAGCCUUGAUGUGUAGGAUAGGUGGGAGGCUUUGAAGUGUGGACGCCAGUCUGCAUGGAGCCGACCUUGAAAUACCACCCUUUAAUGUUUGAUGUUCUAACGUGGGCCCCUAAUCGGGGUUGCGGACAGUGUCUGGUGGGUAGUUUGACUGGGGCGGUCUCCUCCUAAAGAGUAACGGAGGAGCACGAAGGUUGGCUAAUCCUGGUCGGACAUCAGGAGGUUAGUGCAAUGGCAUAAGCCAGCUUGACUGCGAGCGUGACGGCGCGAGCAGGUGCGAAAGCAGGUCAUAGUGAUCCGGUGGUUCUGAAUGGAAGGGCCAUCGCUCAACGGAUAAAAGGUACUCCGGGGAUAACAGGCUGAUACCGCCCAAGAGUUCAUAUCGACGGCGGUGUUUGGCACCUCGAUGUCGGCUCAUCACAUCCUGGGGCUGAAGUAGGUCCCAAGGGUAUGGCUGUUCGCCAUUUAAAGUGGUACGCGAGCUGGGUUUAGAACGUCGUGAGACAGUUCGGUCCCUAUCUGCCGUGGGCGCUGGAGAACUGAGGGGGGCUGCUCCUAGUACGAGAGGACCGGAGUGGACGCAUCACUGGUGUUCGGGUUGUCAUGCCAAUGGCACUGCCCGGUAGCUAAAUGCGGAAGAGAUAAGUGCUGAAAGCAUCUAAGCACGAAACUUGCCCCGAGAUGAGUUCUCCCUGAGACUUAGAGUCUCCUGAAGGAACGUUGAAGACGACGACGUUGAUAGGCCGGGUGUGUAAGCGCAGCGAUGCGUUGAGCUAACCGGUACUAAUGAACCGUGAGGCUUAACCUUACAACGCCGAAG
rnacentral:rRNA from 1 species